GCUGGGGUAGCAUAAUGGUUAUGCAAAGCCUUUCAAACCUGAGGCUCUGAGGUCCUAGGUUCAGUCCCUGGCCCCACCA
rnacentral:tRNA from 1 species